rnacentral:rRNA from 1 species
CAAAGAUUUAUCGCUCGAAGAUGGGCUCGCGUCCGAUUAGGUAGUUGGUGAGGUAACGGCCCACCAAGCCGACGAUCGGUAGCCGGACUGAGAGGUUGAACGGCCACAUUGGGACUGAGACACGGCCCAGACUCCUACGGGAGGCAGCAGUGGGGGAUAUUGCACAAUGGGGGAAACCCUGAUGCAGCGACGCCGCGUGUGGGAAGACGGUCUUCGGAUUGUAAACCACUGUCCCCAGGGACGAAAAUGACGGUACCUGGGGAGGAAGCUCCGGCUAACUACGUGCCAGCAGCCGCGGUAAUACGUAGGGAGCAAGCGUUGUCCGGAAUUACUGGGUGUAAAGGGAGCGUAGGCGGGGAUGCAAGUUGGGUGUCAAAACUACCGGCUCAACCGAUAGUCGCACUCAAAACUGCAGCUCUUGAGUGAAGUAGAGGCAGGCGGAAUUCCUAGUGUAGCGGUGAAAUGCGUAGAUAUUAGGAGGAACACCAGUGGUGAAGGCGGCCUGCUGGGCUUUUACUGACGCUGAGGCUCGAAAGUGUGGGGAGCAAACAGGAUUAGAUACCCUGGUAGUCCACACCGUAAACGAUGAUUACUAGGUGUGGGGGGUCUGACCCCCUCC